GACGAACGCUGGCGGCGUGCCUAAUACAUGCAAGUCGAACGCAGUGGGGACGGGUGAGUAACACGUGGGUAACCUCCCAUCAGAGGGGAUAACACUUGGAAACAGGUGCUAAACCGAUACUGAUGGAUGGACCCGCGGUGCAUUAGCUAGUGGGUGAGGUCACGGCUCACCAAGGCCACGAUGCAUAGCGGACCUGAGAGGGGGAGCGGCAGCACUGGGACGAGGCCACGGUCCAGACUCCUAAGGGAGGCAGCAGUAGGGAAUAUUCGGUAAUGGACGAAAGUCUGACCGAGCAACGUCGCGUGAGUGAAGAAGGUUUUCGGAUCGUAAAGCUCUUUUGUUAGAGAAGCGGUAUCUAACCAGAAAGCCACGGCUAACUCCGUGCCAGCCGCCGCGGUAAUAC
rnacentral:rRNA from 1 species